UACGUAGGUGGCAAGCGUUGUCCGGAUUUACUGGGCGUAAAGGGCGUGCAGGCGGUCUGUUUAGUCUAGGGUGAAAGCUCCCGGCUCAACUGGGAGAGGUCCUUGGAUACUGGCAGACUCGAGGGAGGCAGAGGAAAGUGGAAUUCCCGGUGUAGUGGUGAUAUGCGUAGAUAUCGGGAGGAACACCAGUGGCGAAGGCGGCUUUCUGGGCCUUACCUGACGCUGAGACGCGAAAGCGUGGGGAGCGAACCGGA
rnacentral:rRNA from 1 species